rnacentral:rRNA from 1 species
CUACGGGUGGCUGCAGUUAGGAAUCUUCUGCAAUGCGCGCAAGCGUGACAGAGUGAGCCAGAGUGCUUCUCAACGAGAAGCUUUUGCUAAAUGUAAAAAGUUUGGCGAAUAAGGACUGGGAGAGACUGGUGCCAGCCGGCGCGGUAAUACCAGCGGUCCAAGUCGCAGCCAUCAUUAUUGGGUCUAAAACAUCCGUAGCUUGCUAAGUAAGUUCCUUGUGAAAUCCUGCCUCUUCAGGGUAGGGCGUGCAAGGAGUACUGCCUAGCUAGAGACUGGAAGACGUAAAGAGUACGUUUGAUGUAGCGGUAAAAUGUUUUAAUCUCAAACGGACUAACAACAGCGAAGGCACUUUACGAGGACAGUUCUGACAGUGAGGGGUGAAGGCUAGGGGCGCAAAUUGGAUUAGAUACCCGAGUAGUC